GACGAACGCUGGCGGCGUGCCUAAUACAUGCAAGUCGAGCGCAGGAAAUCGACGGAACCCUUCGGGGGGAAGUCGACGGAAUGAGCGGCGGACGGGUGAGUAACACGUAAAGAACCUGCCCUCAGGUCUGGGAUAACCACGAGAAAUCGGGGCUAAUACCGGAUGGGUCAUCGGACCGCAUGGUCCGAGGAUGAAAGGCGCUUCGGCGUCGCCUGGGGAUGGCUUUGCGGUGCAUUAGCUAGUUGGUGGGGUAAUGGCCCACCAAGGCGACGGUGCAUAGCCGCCCUGAGGGGGGGAUCGGCCACACUGGGACUGAGACACGGCCCAGACUCCGACGGGAGGCAGCAGUAGGGAAUCUUCCACAAUGGACGAAAGUCUGAUGGAGCAACGCCGCGUGAACGAUGAAGGCCUUCGGGUCGUAAAGUUCUGUUGUAAGGGAAGAACAAGUGCCGCAGGCAAUGGCGGCACCUUGACGGUACCUUGCGAGAAAGCCACGGCUAACUACGCGCCAGCAGCCGCCGUAA
rnacentral:rRNA from 1 species